GCCAUGAAUGUAGCUGAAGUAAGCACUGUAGAGUGCGUAGAGUUUGGUUGGACAUCUAAGACACUAAAGUCAUUUAGGUUCAGUGUCAAUCAUCUAGGUUCAGUGUCAGUCAUCCAGACUUUAGUCUUGCCACAGGAUUUAGAUGACUCUGGAAGAAAGAGUGAGGCUGACAAUUUUGUGCAACUCACUUAAAUCCAAUUCAUACACAAGUUAAAAUAUUACUCUGUGAUGUCACUGGUACUUUUCAGACAUAAGGAUCACCACCACCGCUGCCAACUGAUUAAUCAACAUUUUUGACUGUCUCAUCCUUUUAAGUCUUCUUAAAUCUAGCUUUAUUUGUUUUUAACUGCCCUAGCAGCGGGACUAGUAUUUUCUUGGUAGUUAUCCUAGAUCAUCAGUCUUAGAAGGAACCUCAAAGACCACCCACUUUAAUCCCUUCAUUUUGUAGGUGUGAAAAAUGAGGCACAGAGAAGAUAUUCAGAUAGUUACCUUCCCAGCGGUGACUUCAUGGCUUCUGGCUCUAAAAGCAAUACCAUAGGUAGGUUAUUCACUUUAUAAGAUGCCUAAGCCUUGGUCAGCAAUAGUAACCAAUGAAAGAUUGCUGUUGUCCCUUGCUAAUCCUAGUAAAAUAUUUGUGUACUGUUGUACUCAUUGAAUUAUUUAUUUUUCUUAGAGACCCCAAUAAAAAAAGAAAAAGAAGAAGAAGAAAUAGUAGUGGAGGAAGAGAUUAUUAGCACUGGAAAACCUACAGAGGGAAAGACUAAAAAGAGAUUUUCCUGGUUCCACAAUAUCAAAGAAUGCAAGCUGUGGAACUUCUUUCAUUUUAAAAAACAUGACAAACAAGUAAAGAAUGUGCACAAGUGGGAAGAAAUUGAUCAAGAGGUAUUGGAAGAUUACUGUCCUUAUUCUACUGAAGCCCCUAAAACAUUGCCAACAGAGUGGACAAAUAUUGAAGUUGGUAAUUGGUUAUGGAGCAUUGGAAUGGAGGAGUAUGUUGUAAAAUUUUAUUGUAAAGGAAUAAGUGGUGAAAAACUCCUUACACUGGACAAUCACUCGCUAAAAGUAAGUUCAAGAAUUGACUUUUUUUUUACAAUACAUUAGACAACAUAUAUAUAUAUAUAUAAUCACUAAUUUUAUGGAGAGAGUAUAUAAAACAUAAUACAAAAAUGGGAAAUCCUAUGUAUGAUCUAUUUGCCAAUCUUAUGGUUUUAAGGAAAUCAUGUUAACCUCCUUUUGAAUGUAGUAUCAAGGGAGAUUUCUUUUUGAUAGUGAUUUGUUAAAUUCCCCCCUCCCCUUUUUAGUAUUGCUAACAUGUGGUCAUUUCUUUUUAUUUAUAUUUAUUUAUUUAUUUUUAAAAACCUACCAUUCCUUUUUGGAAUCAAUCCCCAUGUAUUAAUUCCAAGGAAGAAGAGGAGUAGGAUCUGGGCAAGGAGUGGGUAGUGAGUGACUUGCCGAGGGUCACACUGUUAGCAAGAGUAUCAAGAGUAUGUGAGGGGGGCACUGGGUAGCUCAGUGGAUUGAAAGCCAGGCCAGUAGAUGGGAGAUCCUGGGUUCAAAUUUGACAUCAGACAUUUCCCAGCUGUGUGUGACAAGGAAAUCACUUUAAAAGACUGAUAUAUAUUAACUUAAGGUCGCCAAGGAAUUCAGCUAUGUAAUUCCUAAAUGAAAACUCAAGUCAGCAGUCAACCUUUUAUGGAGUUUAAUUACAAACAGGAGGAAGAAAGAUAUUAGAGAUAGAGAGAGAGAGGGAGAGAGAAAGGGGAGAGAAGGGAAUAGGGCUUAAAUACCUCUUCUGUUUAGGCUGGGCUAAAAGGCCCAAGCCCUUAGAUAGCUGAGGCAAAGAAAAGAGAUCAGUCCCUAACACUCACGUGGCCAAAAUGGAGAAACAGUCUCAGGGGCCUCCACCUCCAGCUUCCUUCAGAGCAAGCUUCUCAGAGCACCACCUCUCAGAGCAAAACCUCUCCAACCAACCCCGCCUAGUCCUCAGACCCCGCUGUCUUUAAGGAAACCAUCCAAGUUCCCUCCCCUCAGUUCUCACAUCUACCAAUCACUGUCCAUGUCUUCCCUGUGCCAAUGGUGGCUCUAGCUUAACCCAGGACCGCCCAGAGGUCUGUGGCUUUGCACAUGUCUGUCUGUUGAAGGUCAUAUUCUCAAAUAAUUAAAUCUUGAUCCUUUGCUGCAGCCCUUCGUAAAUCCUGUUAGGACUGAGUAGGGUGGAGAUUUUAAGUUCCAAGACCUGGUUCUGUCAUUCCAAGUAUGGUCUCCCGGCCUGCGAGAGGCUGUAAAGGUGAGAAAAAGAGAGGAUAGAGAUAGAGUAGAAGUAUUGAUCCCGCGAAGGGCGUGAACGAGCCGACUUUAGAGAUGUGAAUAACCGAGUCAGUAGACAAAUAUUAUUUGUAUGAGCCACAGCUAAGCUCCGACCACUGAGUGUAAUUAUUCAGGCUAAAACCACCCAAUGAUCUCAACUUAACACCAUACUGGUCAGAGGAUAAUGCUAGCUCAGAUGGAAAGGAGAUCAGAAACUGAAGGAGGUAGAUAAUGCUAGGUAGCAUUAGGAGAAAGAGAAGAAGUAAGGCAGGCCUGGCAUAAAGACCAGGCCUUAGUGAGAAAGAUAGAGAAGAGAGAGAGAGAGACAGGCAGGGGAGAAGAUGCCCCUUGCCAAACCUGGGAAUGCUCUUCAAGUGGGGGGAGCUUACUGGGGCUCGUUUAUUUAUAGUCUUGACAGCUCAAUACAUAUUGAACAGUUAUAUGAUACCUCAAUACAUAUGGAUGAGUUACCUGGGGUAUUCCCAUUGGAUAAUGCAACUUAUGACAAGGUGAAGGUGGGGUUAUUAUCCCCGGGAGAGUGAGACAAAGGAAAGCCAGGUUUCGCGCCUAAACUUCAGCCACGCUGGCAAUAAAAUUUAUUGCCAUGCACA
rnacentral:lncRNA from 1 species